UGCCAGCAGCCGCGGUAAUACGAGGGUGGCAAGCGUUACUCGGAAUUAUUGGGUGUAAAGGGCAAGUAGGCGGCUUGUUAAGUGAGGGGUGAAAUCUACCGGCUCAAUCGGUAAACGGCCUUUCAAACUAACAAGCUUGAGUAUGACAGGGGGAAACGGAAUUAGCAGUGUAAGGGUGAAAUCUGUAGAUAUUGCUAAGAACACCGGCGGCGAAGGCGGUUUCCUGGGUCAUUACUGACGCUGAUUUGCGAAAGCUAGGGUAGCAAACGGAAUUAGAUA
rnacentral:rRNA from 1 species